CGCCUGGUGGAUGGCUCGGCUUGGGCGCCGAGGAAGGGCGCGGCAAGCUGCGAUAAGCCCCGGGGAGGCGCACGCAGCCGUCGAUCCGGGGAUUCCCGAAUGGGACCUCCUGCUAUAGGGGUGAUAAGCCCCUAUAGUGCUCCCACCUCCCCUCCGUGGAGGGGGAGCGGGAACCCCCCGAACGGAAACAUCCAAGUAGGGGGAGGAAGAGAAACCAACAGGGAUCCCCUGAGUAGGGGCGACCGAAAGGGGGAGAGCCCAAACCAAACCCU
rnacentral:rRNA from 1 species